UGGACCACUUAUGAGGGGGAGGGCAGAGGGAAACCAGUUAUUCUUUUAAAGAACAGAAGCUGAGGGAGCACCUGACGCACAUGGUCAGGAUCAAGGGCUGCGCCACGUGCCACUAACUGCAGCCAAAGCUCUUUUCUGAAGGGGUGGUGAUGGUGGUGCACCGACGGGUGUGCGAGUGUGUGUGUCUGUGUGUUGCUGGUUAAUCUCUUUACAGAGAGGGUGUGCACUCAAAGCUGCUUUUGUUUUGGAAGGCUACUUUCUCGAGGUCGUCCAAUCCCUUUGCGCCCACUCCUCCCCUCAUCAUCUCCUGCUUUUUAUCUCUGGACAGGCCGUCUGUAUGAAACGCUGCAGAUUAUUUCUUUUAUGAGCUAAUCAGCCGGUUGGGUGAGGCAGAGAAAGUGUUUGUAUGCGUGCAUGGCUGUGUUUAGGUGUAGGGCUUUGCCAGCAUGAGCGUGUGAGAAACAUUGAAGAGCUUUCAUGUUGUAACAUAAACUGAAUUGAACAGGAACGUGUCGGGACAAGAGGGAGGCUUUGAUUUGCUCGAGGAACACAGAUGUGAUUCUGUACUCUGUAAAUGUUUCAGCUGAGGUAAAAAAAAAUAGUUUUUUUCCAUAUUCAUGACUCAGAUGAAAAAAAAAGACUAUGCUGCAGCAAGUUAUCAUCAGUAAAAUAAUUUCAGGAGGAAAUUCUGUAGAUUAUUUGCCAUAUUUUCCACUCUAUGAGGCGCACUUAAAAGCCUUAAUUAAAAAAAAAACAGCAACAGUGUGUCUUGUAUAUGGAUUAUUAUUGGUUGUGCUUGAUGUUGAAGUGAUUUUGAGAGCUACACAUCACCCUGUCAAAAUAUCAGUCUGUUUUUUACAUUUCGCAAACAAUGUUGGGAGUUACAGGUAUUGUGAAUACGCUAACAUUUAGCUAACAUUUAGCUAACAUUUCUAACCUAUAGCUUGUUACGAAAAAGUUUUAUAGAGUUACUGUGAACACAGUUAAUAAUGUCUGACUGACUGACUGACAGACUCUUUCUCACUCUUUUGUGUCGAUUUAUGCACCUCAAAUAUGACGUAGGUUCUAAAAUAGACAAUUCAUUGAUGGUGCGCUUUAUUAUCCGGUGCGCCCUUAGGUGAAUAAAAUAGGUUGUACUUUUUGCUACAAUCUUUACAUUUCUUCAGUCCUGUCACAGUUCAUGUUCAAAAACACUUGUCAUGGUGCCUCUGGCAGCUCUUCUCCCCCUCCCCUCUCUGCUCUGAUCCUGAUCAUCACCAGCUGUGGACCCUCAGCUUAUCAACCUCCAGCCCUUCUUAAGGAGAUCCAGUGCCAGCAUUCAUCGCCAGUUCUUUGCUCCUCUACGGAUUUAUCUUCCACGAGUGUCCACCUGGUUUCCAUUGUCAGAGCUACUCCACGGCUUCACGGUGACCGUACAUCUCGCCAAGUCCUCCAAGCAAGCUCUCUGCUGAAACCCUCCAGCCACGCCACAGCAGAGCAUUUUGAUCCACAUCGUACCACCCUUCCACAGGAUUCAAUCUCUACAGUCAUCAUCGGAUCCACGUCCAGGAAAAUAAAUCUCUUUGAACUGA